GUGCCCCUCUCAGUGACCCCCCCUUCCCGCUGAGCACCCUCCCCGGGCUGCACGGGCGGCGGUCCGAGCGUCUGAGCGAACGGGAAGGGCAGGGAGGGCGCCCCGGGGGCACCCGGGGACGGGGCCAGCCCUGCCUCGGGCUCGCUGGAGUCAGCCCGGCGGGAGCCUCUGGCGAGAGGAUGCUGCUGCGGCGCAGCCCAAGGGAUGACUUUUGCCCUGCGAGAUGCCUAGGCUGGCAGUGAAGAGCCGCUUGAUACCCCGAGUGUGAGAGCCUCGUAAUCACGAAUUCCCUGUCUUUCGGGUCUUUUCCUCCUUUCCCCUAAAAAUUAAGCUACAAACUUCCUAGCUGUCUUGCUCUCCCACCUCAGACAGGACUGUUGCAGAGAGCUGCCGUGGGCUGCCUCACCCUCUGCCCCACAAACGCCUGUUAUCGAUUUGGGAAACAAAGACACACGUUUAAUCUUCCCCCACCAUCACUCUAGUCUGCGCUGUUCACGAACGAGCUGCUCCAGACAGCCACUUUCUCCUUGCUCCAACAGAGGCUGUGCCGUGCCCUCUCCUGUUCCCAGGCACACUGGGGCCUUGGCGACGCAGCCCUGCCCAGAAAAGAGGAGCAGAAGAGGGAAAACAAACAAAAUCAAUUUCAAGGUCUACUCAGUAAUGGCAGGAAAUCCUUCCUAGCAGGCAGGUUUCUCAGCCCUGCAGAUGUGACUUGCAUCACCUUGCCCCGGUUACUGGGUCUGCCUGCACGAGGGCACUGCUGCAGGACCUCAUUGGAUUUGUUCAGCCUGGCUGGGGUCUGUCUCUACAGCCUUCCUCCUGGUCCAGAAAGCAUUGGGUGACAGUUGGCUUCAUUUGGCGCCCUCAAAUCCAGCCAAAAGCCCACCAGGUUCUGGGCAGAGCCAGGGGGCAAGGGAGGAGGGAGGGCUGGCUUUGUGAGUGUUUUCUGCAGAAGAGGCAAGGUGAGCCUGGUGCCAUGACAUGGAUGACACCUGCACUGUGCUUGGCUUGGGUGGGCAGCAUUCCCUGCUGCCAGCCAUGCCACCACUGGAGCAGGCCCUGCUGUGGCUUCCCAAAGCUCACACACUGCAGAAGUACCUCAAGGCAGCAACUCUGUCCAAGGAACGCCCAGCUCAGCCCAAUCUCCCCCGGGGUGAGACUGCAGCUCACGCUCCUCAAGGGCAGCCCUGAGGGUGUUUUGGUUGGAGCUGUGCCCAGACACUGCCCUUUCCCAGUAUCCAGAAGUGCUGCCUUCCUGCAGGACCUCUCUGUCCAAAAGCAACUGGCUUGCCCCACCACAUCUCCCACCACCAGCACUUCCCACUGAAUUCAGCUGAGCCUUUUUAUGCAGCUGCUCCAGGCUGGAGAGUGAUGGAGUGAAUCUGGGGCUUCAAUUACACACAGGGAGAUUUUUUCACCAUAUUUCUUAGAUCAGCUUGCGAGAAAGUGCACUUAAGCACGUGUUCUGGAGUUGGGAAAAGCCUAAAGCAUUUUUCAGCCACCAAGUGCUAGGUUGUACCCUGAUCUAAAUUCAUUAUUGAAAGAAAAGGAUAUGGGAGACCCAUGGGAGACUCCAAAGCACUUGGGAAGAGAGUGUUCAGGUUCCACUUGCUACAGCUUGGCCUUCCCAAAUGUUCCCUCUUCCCUUAACAUUCCAGAAUACUCCUUUGUUUGUUUUCAGAGCUUCUUUGUGUCCAGACAGGUCCAAAGCCCAAAGCAGGGCUGAUCCAUGGUGCCCAAGCAGGGUGCAGGUGCUUGUGCUUGACUGCAGAGCUGAUCUGUGCUGGCUCAGGGGAGCCAUUUCCAAAGCCCUGCUCCCAGCUCCACAAGGCAGAGCCCACCCAAGGAAAACAACAACAGCUUUUGGAAUGUAACAAUUUAUUGGGGUUAAUUUUUUGUUUUAAUUUUUAACUCCCCAUUUCUGGCAUUGAUACAAUAUUCAAGAGCAGCAGAAAGAACAAAAUGUACAAGAAUACAAGAGUAAUUAGCACAACCCCCACCCCCAAACCUGGAGCAAACCAGUUUCUUGUAGGAAGCACCAAGGGAAGGAGUGAUUCAAUCACCCUUCCAGUGGCUCUGCCUCCCACCCAUCCACUCUAGACAGAGUUUAGCCAGCUGGGAACUGGAUUAAAAAACAAAACAAAACUGAACAAACACUAUAUUUAAAAUGAAAAUUGCAAGACAAAAAAAUAAUAUAUAGAUAUACAAUUCAUCCGUGCACAAUCCUUAAAUGCUUUUUUUUCAAAAUAAAAAAAAUUACAAGAUACAUAUUUAGGUUUAUUUUAAAUUAAAAAAAAAUUACCACCUUCACUCUGUAUGCCAAGUGAGGGGAAAUGAAGGGACAGAUGGGUUGCACCAGAACUAUGAGCACUUGGAGUUAGGGCUGACCUUCUCCAAGAGGAAGGAAGGGCUCUGAUGCUGCCAAAGCUCAAGCACAGGCAGAAUCUGAAGCACCCAAGUACCACAGAAUGCAGUGGGGUCACUCGCCUGCUCCAAGUUCAGUGUUUGCAGGAAUCUGCAGCAUUUGAGCCUAAGCUUGGCACAGGGGAAGGUGAAAGGAAGGAACAGAUGAAGCAGGCCCCUGUCCUCCACCACCAGCAGACAACUUUCUAUGCAAAAAGAAAACAAACAGGGGAAAAAAUCCCAAAGCAGAGAGUCUCCUCUAUUCUUAGGGAGUGUACAAGGCUUAAUGGCACAGGGGAGAAGAGGAAAGAGGACAGCACACACUGAGUUGAUUUGCUUGGAGGAGGUGCAGGCAUGACAACUCUUUUCUAAAAAAAGUCAUCACAACGAUUAAUUUUUUUGUUCCAUUUGAGAACUUGACCUAAGAUUCUGCCCCCGCCUUGCAGCUGGGGGCUGGAAGCAGCAGGCUCCCUCCAGGGCACCUACCUGUGCAAGAGCACCGACCUGCUGCUCUGCCAGAGGAAAACCCUCAGUACCCCCAGAGAGCAGGGGCCAGCUGGGGGCACGUGGGAGCACGGGAAAGCCCCAUCAGUCCCACGAGGCCCUGAAGCCCCACGAAGUGCUUUGACCCACCCAGCCGUGUGCUGGAGGUUUGAUGGGAGCUCCAAGUGCUCAGCUGAACAAGGAAUGAAGUAAAGAACCAGGGCCCUGCAAUGGGAAUGAACACUGCCUGCAUGUCCCACCAUGCUCCUCUCCCCCCAGCAGACCCAUUUGCUGAACCAUUGCAGAAGCUGGCACCUCUCUAGAGCUCUCUCACCUGACUUUUCCCUGUGCCCAGCAUGCUGCUGGCUGCCCACUUCCCAGCUGCACCCAGCCCAGGGCACAGAGGGCACCCUGCUCCUCCACCCCAGGGCCACCUGCCAGUGCCUGCAGGGCGUGGGCUCAGAGCACAGAGCUCAGCUGGAGUGGAAGGACCCUACCCCAAGGACUGUGCUUUUGGAUGGCCCUGGAGUCAUUGUUUCCCACCACACAGGAGCUGCAAUGGACAGAAGAGCUGCCAGAGGCAGCCAACCACCACAGGACUAUCUCCCUUCACUUCUGGAGGGAGAAAUUUACAGAAGGGAAGAAAGAAGAACUCAGGGCCCUGCUGCAUCCUUACAGGCGAGGCAGGUGGGACACAGGGCACCUCAGAAUCACCACACAGAACACAGGAGAAGCUCCCGGUGCCAAGACUGACCCUGCUCAGAAAAGGGUGCAAAUACCUUCGACCACAUCCAUCUGACACAGGGCAAUGGCAAAAUGUGAGAGGAGCAGAGGUGGAAAGGCAAAGGUGAGGAUGGAGACAGACUCCAACAUCUCCUGCCAUCUACAACCCCCAAAAAGAAACGAUACACAUUGCACUCUGGGGAAGGAUCUCAAAAAUAGAAGAAAAUAAAGACACUUAUUUUCUCAACCUCAGAGCACUGGUGAAAUGAAGAUACUUCCUGGAAUUACCUGGGGAAGGAAGCACAGACAGGGAGCAGGGGAUUUCUGAAGCAGCACUGAGCACUCCAUCUCUGUGCAAACACCUCGAGAGUUGGGCUGCCAGCACCCUCAGCAGGAUGGUCUCCUCCAUCCCCACCCCCUUUGCAUGAGGAAGACAGAGGCACAGGGCAGUGACACAGCUGGCAAGCCAAGAAGGAACAGAACUAGGAGGCACCAAAUCCCCAACCCCAAAUGAACCCUCUACAGAUCACCUUGGGAGCGGAGAUCAGGGAGGCUGCGCAUGGGGCGGUGGGUGAGAUGGGGACAAAGGGGGAAGGAGGCUUUUUAUAGUCAUAUAUUUAUAUAUAAGAAGUAAAUAAGAUCCCAGCUCUUGCGUGAUUAUUGGGCAAUUGAAAAAUGCAGCAAAAGCAAGCGACAUUGGAGUAAAAGGAUGUGCCAGGCAAGGAGGAAAAAGUCUUGUCAGAAGGUGGGGAAGGAAGCAAAAGGGAAAAUAAGCACUUAGCCAAACACACACUCCAGGUUUGUUACAGCUCCCUGGGAAGAAGGACCUGCUCCUGAGCAGCCCCACUCAUGCCAUGGCCUGGGGUGGGCAGCAGUAUGGGGACUCAGGACACCAUCCUUCAAGCAUGGCAACCUCUUUCUGCCAGGAAGUCCCCAGGGAGGUGGUCAUCUCCAAACGCUGGGAGCUGCUGAAGCCUCCUCUACAAAGAGGGGCUGGAGAAGGGAGUGAUAUCCCUAGGAAGACUCAGCAUUGAGACAGCUCCUACCUGGUAAAAAGCAUUAUUGUGGGUUUGAUUUUUUUUUCUUUAUUUGUUUAUUUCACAAAAUUUCCCUGGGAACUUCAGUAAGGGGAGACACAGAGAAAUGCUCCCAUUCUCUUUUGAAAACAGAAUUUAAGCAGUGGCUCACCACAGCUGGGCCUGCUCACCACACUAAUUCUGUUUUUCAUCCCCAAAGGAGCUUGUAUCUCAUUAGCUUCAUGCCCCUCCAGUCCCAUGCUGCUCAUUGAGAGGAGAGCCUGAGACAGGAGGUUUCUGUUCCAAGUUGAAAGCCAAGGGAAGCACCGACACUUUGAUGGGCAGACAGAGAAGUUCCCAAGGGCAGCCCAGGCUAUGGGAAGCAUCAGUCAUCUGCCACUGCAAAGGGCACCAGAGAAGUGCAGACAAGAAAAGUCGUUCAAGUGUCCCUGCCUACCAUCUUCUGUUCAGACACCAACAUCUGGUGGUUUCCCUCUUCCCUGCAGUCACUCCCACGUGCCAGAUGAACACCAGAGACAUCUUGGACAGGGAAGCCAGAGCUUCCAGCAUCGCUCUGAAGGAACAUUCAGGCAACUCUUCCCCACCACCCCAAAGGAAGCUGGAGAAGAAGGCUGCCCUACUUGAGCAGUCCUGUCAGAGUGUUCCUCUCCCCUUCUCCACCCUAAAAACUUCCAGCAUUUGCUGGCCUCGAGAAGAGGGUGCACGUCCCUCAGCAACACAAUCAGAGCAAACAAGGCAGCGCUCUCAUCUGCCUCUAGAGAUCUGGCCACUGUCAGGGAAGGGAUGCUGGAAUACACAACAAUGGGAUUCAGUUUUCUGUCCUAAUGUGGUGAAUUCUAUACAGAAAAAUGUCACCCCUCACCUGGUAUUCGAAUGAGUUUAAGAAACCCUACAGAGGAGAGGCAUAUCUGCUUCCCAGGAAAUAAGCCCACCAUGAUUAAUUCUGUUUGGAAUUAGGGGACCGAAAAGAGACAGCAACUUGGCAGGAAAGGUACAUGCCAACCCAAAACGUUAGCGGCUUGCUGUGCAUGCAAAGUAAGUCAACUGUUUCCACGUCGAUGGCCUGAUCCACGUUCUGCCAGAACGUGACCGGCCAUCUCUGAGGGCUGCUCAGCCAGAAAACCACUUGGAGACUCCACCUUAGCUCACAGGAGAGGUAUGGGAGGGAAGGGAACUCACUCCAACACUUGGGAGGCAAGGAUGGGAAAGGUUUGUAGACAGGGUUCCUCCAACAUGCAACUUGCCUUUCAGCUCAGAGAUCGCUGCUUAGUCCAGAAUGCCUUUCCCUCCAGUUCAAGCAAGCCAAACACCAUCCCAGACACACAUGCUUCGAUACUACAAAAUACUCUUUUCUCUAAGGACCAUCUAAUACCACUACAGUUUGUGCAAUCACUGCAUUUAUUAUUCAUUUUUAAACUCUCUCUCGCUCUCUCCCUGUAGAAAUUUUUUUAAAACUUUUCUUUUUUUAUGCAAAACUAAUCAUUUCACUUUUUCCACUCCAUCAUAAAAUCUCCCCUAAAAACACGACAACGAGAACAAACAUGGCACAGACACAGAGAAUAUUUCCCUGUUUUUGUUGAUUUUUUUUCCUAUGGGUUACGGGGAAAGGAAGGGGAUACUUUCAAAUAAACUCCUCCCUCAAUUCCAUGCCCAUUUUAAAAGGCACGGAUGAAUCUUCUUUCCUAUCUCCAUUAAGGAGCAAAGGCAAAAAUUCAGAAGGAGGAGCACAGCCCACGUGAAUACGAAGGUAGGUUAGCUAGCCUCAAGUGUCUUGUCCACCUGAGGGAACUCGAGGCUACUGCUGCAUUCAAGUUAGCAAAUCUCUAACUCAAACCAGCACGGGAUCCUCAUUUUGGAUCCAGAGGUUCAGGGUUUGGUUCCCACCUGGUGACCCACCCAGGCAGGGAUUUGUCACACAAGCAGGUGAGCUGUGUCUGCAAGCCGGAUCAUACUCCUUUCUUCCUCCACAACGAGGAUCUACCACACGAGUUUCUCUGCUGCAACAAGUCCCCUCAUCUCCUCACCGCAGGAAGGAGGCCCUUGCGGAGCAUCCCUACAAUGACCCACUGUUUUACUCUUCACAGACAGUUCCCUUGCUUGCCACUCUGGAGAAAGGCAAAACCCCUUCAAUUAAACAAUUCCUGCCCCUUGCCCCCAAAGAACACCAUACAAGAGACACUGGGGAAAAGAAUUCUGCCAAGCAACACACCUUGGCCAAAACACAUCAAGAGUUUCCUAUUAAAGUUCCCUUUUAUCUCCCACUUAAACGCUUCAACACUUUUUUCAGAACCUUGAUACCACAAAACAAAACACAGCACCACAUACACACCAAACAGUAACUUAACAACCUAAAGUGACUGGCCAGUUUGCAUCCACCCCAUAAAGCAGCUCCUCUUAUCUCAUAGCCACAGAUUAGUUCUUAUUCAGAAGGGGGAGGAAAAAGAGAAGAAUCUCCUUGCUAUUUUCCUAAGAAAGAGCUUUUCCCUAUGCCUACAAACUGCUCAUCUUUGAAGCUGCAGUCAAAUGGAUAGGCUAUGCUAACAUAAGGGAUCCCUGGGUGUGCCAGGCACAGGAAAGAUGCGCAAAAGAAAACCCAAACAAAAAAAAAAAAAA